GGGGGUAUAGCUCAGUGGUAGAGCACCUGCCUAGCAUGCACGAGGUCCUGGGUUCAAUCCCCAGUACCACCG
rnacentral:tRNA from 1 species